UACGUAGGGGGCAAGCGUUGUCCGGAAUCAUUGGGCGUAAAGAGCGUGUAGGCGGCCCGGUAAGUCCGCUGUGAAAGUCCAAGGCUCAACCUUGGAAUGCGGGUGGAUACUGCCGGGCUAGAGUCCGGAAGAGGCGAGUGGAAUUCCUGGUGUAGCGGUGGAAUGCGCAGAUAUCAGGAGGAACACCAAUAGCGAAGGCAGCUCGCUGGGACGGUACUGACGCUAAGGCGCGAAAGCGUGGGGAGCGAACAGG
rnacentral:rRNA from 1 species